rnacentral:rRNA from 1 species
UACGAAGGGGGCUAGCGUUGUUCGGAAUUACUGGGCGUAAAGGGCGCGUAGGCGGUCCCUCAAGUCAGGCGUGAAAGCCCCGGGCUCAACCUGGGAACCGCGCUUGAGACUGAUGGGCUAGAGUUCGGGAGAGGAUGGUGGAAUUCCCAGUGUAGAGGUGAAAUUCGUAGAUAUUGGGAAGAACACCGAUGGCGAAGGCAGCCAUCUGGACCGACACUGACGCUGAGGCGCGAAAGCUAGGGGAGCAAACGGG